rnacentral:rRNA from 1 species
CGCACGGGUGAGGAACACGUGGGUAACCUACCCUCUGGCGCGGGACAACAGCUCGAAAGAGCUGCUAAUACCGCAUAAGCUGGCGACGGCUGCGGCUGUUACCAGGAAACGAUGGCCUCUAUUUAUAAGCUAUCGCCGGAGGAUGGGCCCGCGGCCCAUCAGCUUGUUGGUGAGGUAAUGGCUCACCAAGGCUUAGACGGGUAGCUGGUCUGAGAGGAUGAUCAGCCACACUGGGACUGAGACACGGCCCAGACUCC